CCACCUCCACAACCAGUAUAUUACGCGCCACCAACAUAUAAACCUCAAUCACCACCACCACCUCCACCACCAGUACAUUACGAGCCACCAACGUACACACCUCAAUCACCACCACCACCUCCACCAGUACAUUACGAGCCACCACCAUACACACCUCAAUCACCACCACCUCCACCAGUACAUUACGAACCACCAACGUACACACCUCAAUCGCCACCACCACCAGUAUAUGUGACACCGUCUUCACCACCACCACCAGUAUAUGAGCAUCCAAAACCUCCAACUCCAACUCCAUCACCACCAGCUGGGUACACACCUCCCCAGGAGCCAUCACAUCCUGCCCCACCUACCCCACCUUGUAACGAGACACCACCCCCACCACCUAGUACCCCACAUUGGCAACCAAAACC
rnacentral:lncRNA from 1 species